UGUUUGACUUAGGUUCCGUUGCGUGCGUCAGCGAGAAAGCGUUGCCGCAGGCAACGACCCGAAGGGCGAAGCGCGCAGCGCUGAGUCAUCCUUCCCCCACCACCA
rnacentral:sRNA from 1 species